rnacentral:rRNA from 1 species
AAAAAUAACUUUCAACAACGGAUCUCUUGGCUCUCGCAUCGAUGAAGAACGCAGCGAAAUGCGAUAAGUAAUGUGAAUUGCAGAAUUCAGUGAAUCAUCGAAUCUUUGAACGCAACUUGCGCUCUCUGGUAUUCCGGAGAGCAUGCCUGUUUGAGUAUCAUGAAAUCUCA